AUUCAUUUUGUGUUUGUAAAUUAAAAGUAUCUUACUCGGUGCUGUUAGGGGCUGUGUGAAUACCAUUAAUAAGGAUGUUUUCCCGUACUGUGCUGUAUAAUAACUUCACAUAUUAUUUUAUUAUUUAUAUAGCGCCAGCAAAUUCUGUAACGCUGUACAAUGGGAGAUGUUGCAUUGAAGUGACACAGACAAAAACUGUGUUGGAAACUAAAAUAUUAAUUUCAAGAUUUA